UACGUAGGUGGCAAGCGUUAUCCGGAUUUAUUGGGUGUAAAGGGCGUGUAGGCGGGAAAGCAAGUCAGAUGUGAAAACUCAGGGCUCAACCCUGAGCCUGCAUUUGAAACUGUUUUUCUUGAGUGCUGGAGAGGCAAUCGGAAUUCCGUGUGUACCGGUGAAAUGCGUAGAUAUAUGGAGGAACACCGGUGGCGAAAGCGGCUCUCUGGCCUGUAACUGACACUGAGGCUCGAAAGCGUGGGGAGCAAACAGG
rnacentral:rRNA from 1 species